GCAAUUGUCAACGUCGAGCGCGGGAAGCAGGCAGAUCCUCUUCGGAGGUGACGCCUGUGGAACGAGCGGCGGACGGGUGAGUAACACGUGGGCAACCUGCCUGUAAGAUUGGGAUAACCCCGGGAAACCGGGGCUAAUACCGGAUAAUACUUUUCGUUGCAUAACGAGAAGUUGAAAGGCGGCUUUUAGCUGUCACUUACAGAUGGGCCCGCGGCGCAUUAGCUAGUUGGUAAGGUAACGGCUUACCAAGGCGACGAUGCGUAGCCGACCUGAGAGGGUGAUCGGCCACACUGGGACUGAGACACGGCCCAGACUCCUACGGGAGGCAGCAGUAGGGAAUCUUCCGCAAUGGACGAAAGUCUGACGGAGCAACGCCGCGUGAGUGAUGAAGGUUUUCGGAUCGUAAAACUCUGUUGUCAGGGAAGAACAAGUGCCGUUCAAAUAGGGCGGCACCUUGACGGUACCUGACCAGAAAGCCCCGGCUAACUACGUGCCAGCAGCCGCGGUAAUACGUAGGGGGCAAGCGUUGUCCGGAAUUAUUGGGCGUAAAGCGCGCGCAGGCGGUCCUUUAAGUCUGAUGUGAAAGCCCACGGCUUAACCGUGGAGGGCCAUUGGAAACUGGAGGACUUGAGUACAGAAGAGGAGAGUGGAAUUCCACGUGUAGCGGUGAAAUGCGUAGAGAUGUGGAGGAACACCAGUGGCGAAGGCGACUCUCUGGUCUGUAACUGACGCUGAGGUGCGAAAGCGUGGGGAGCGAACAGGAUUAGAUACCCUGGUAGUCCACGCCGUAAACGAUGAGUGCUAUGUGUUA
rnacentral:rRNA from 1 species